GCGGGCCUGCCGUGCUGGGGGAGCCGGGGCACCCUCCGCAGCUGCUGGCCCCGGUGCUAAGCCCCUUACUGCUGGUGGCCGGUGGCGCGGCCGGCCGCUCCGAGUGCGGGCCCGCCUAGCCCAGCGCCCACCCGGAACCGGCGCCGGCCCGUGAGCACCGCGUGCAGCACCGGCUCCCGCCCGCGCCUUUCUCUCCACACCUCCCUGCGAGGAGAGGGAGCCGGCUGCGGCCUCGGCCAGUCCCAUAGUGGGACCCCUCCAGCGCAGCGGACGGCUGAAGGGGUCCUUGAGCGCGGCCACUGCUUGAGCGCGGCCAGAGUGGACGCCGAGGCCGAGGAGGCGCGGAGAGAGAGCGAGGACUGCUAGCACGUUGUCACCUCUCAAUCUCCUCCGGGAGUGGUGGGCAGCUACUGUGAAAGGCCUGGUUCAAAAACCUCACAGCGGUUGUUUUCAGAGUUGUCCCUCCUGUGUACUCUCAAAGCCCCAGAAUGAAGCAAAGCAUCCUCCCUUUUCAAACUGGCACUCUUCCCCAACCUUGAGGACCACUAGGCACUUUGUUUUUAAAGCCACAAAUCCUGAUCUGUUACCCAGGCUGGAGUGCAGUGAAUGAUCUCGGCUUAUUGCAACUUCCGCCUCCCAGGAUCAAGAGUUUCUGGUAUCUCAGCUUUCCGAGUAGCUGGGAUUAUAGACGUGCACCACCAUGCCUAGCUAAUUUUUGUAUUUUUAGUAGAGGCAGAGUUUCACCAUGUUGGCCAGGCUGGUCUCAAACUCCUGGCCUCAGGUGAUCUGCCCACCUCGGCCUCCCAAAGUGCUGGGAUUACAGGCGUGAGCCACCACACCUGGCCCUCAUUCUCUUAGCAGUGUAUUUUGAAGAGAAGUUUUAACUUUUAAUAAAGUUUAAUUUAUUUAUUAUUUUAUGGAUUACAUUUCUAGUGUUGUUUCUAAGAAAUUUUUGCCUACCCCAAGCUCACAAAGAAAUUUUCCUAUGUUUUCUUAUAAAAGUUUUAUGUGUUCAAGCUGUACAUUUAGAUGUAUGAUGCAUUGUAGUUAACUUUCUUAUAUAGUUUGAGGCAUGUAUCCAAGUUCAUAUUUGAUGUAUGGAUACCCAGUCAUCGCAGCAAUUUUUUUUUUGAAAAGCCUGUACUUUUUCCACUGGGUUGCUUUUGUGCUUUUGUCAAAAAUUAGUUGCGCAGCUUGGGCGCAGUAGCUCACGCCUGUAAUCCCAGCAGUUUGGGAGGCCGAGGCGGGCGGAUCACAAGAUCAGGAGAUCGAGACCAUCCUGGCUAACAUGGUGAAACCCCGUCUCUACUAAAAAU
rnacentral:lncRNA from 1 species